UCUAAACGACUCUCGGCAACGGAUAUCUCGGCUCUCGCAUCGAUGAAGAACGUAGCGAAAUGCGAUACUUGGUGUGAAUUGCAGAAUCUCGUGAACCAUCGAGUCUUUGAACGCAAGUUGCGCCCGAAGCCAUUAGGUUGAGGGCACGCCUGCCUGGGCGUCAU
rnacentral:rRNA from 6 species